rnacentral:rRNA from 1 species
AGUGAACGCUGGCGGUAGGCCUAACACAUGCAAGUCGAACGGCAGCACAGUAAGAGCUUGCUCUUACGGGUGGCGAGUGGCGGACGGGUGAGGAAUACAUCGGAAUCUACUUUUUCGUGGGGGAUAACGUAGGGAAACUUACGCUAAUACCGCAUACGACCUACGGGUGAAAGCAGGGGAUCUUCUGACCUUGCGCGAUUGAAUGAGCCAAUGUCGGAUUAGCUAGUUGGCGGGGUAAAGGCCCACCAAGGCGACGAUCCGUAGCUGGUCUGAGAGGAUGAUCGGCCACACUGGAACUGAGACACGGUCCAGACUCCUACGGGAGGCAGCAGUGGGGAAUAUUGGACAAUGGGCGCAAGCCUGAUCCAGCCAUACCGCGUGGGUGAAGAAGGCCUUCGGGUUGUAAAGCCCUUUUGUUGGGAAAGAAAAGCAGCAGGUUAAUACCCCGCUGUUCUGACGGUACCCAAAGAAUAAGCACCGGCUAACUUCGUG